rnacentral:misc_RNA from 1 species
CAACGCGACAGACCGAAAAGAAAAUGAGUCAGUCGAUGAAUCGUUUAUGCAAAUGCGAGUUGGAAACAUGGUGCAUGGUGGAAGAUUAGAAGAACAAUGAGAAGAACUCAGAGAAACCCUUUACAGCAAGGAAGAAUUCAGCAAACAAGACUCUUCCUAGAAGAUUUGGCCAUUUUGAAGGUGCCAACCAUUCUCAACUGUUUCCGCACUUUCACAGUCCAUAAUACGGAAUUGGAAGACGGGGGGGGGGGAUUACCGGAUUACAGUGGACUACCAGCACCAGUACGUAGAGUUUCGAUUCUUCAUUUCAAGGCCCCAUGAAUCUCCCAUUUUUAGUUCCUCAAUGAGUCUGCUUUUUAUUUGGGGAGGUAUUGCUUUCAGUCACCUCAAUCUUGUUUGAUUAUAUUAGGAGAGUGGUAAGUUUCUUAUCCCUACAAAAUCGAAUUUGCUAUUUUUUUUAUUGCUACGUUGAGGAACCCAUACUCGGCAUUCUUUGUUUGGGAUGCAUCAGAGGGAUUGUAGAACAGAAUACGUACAGUUCCUCUACACGGAGCGGAUUUGACAUUUGAAAGCAAUAAUAUAACUUCCUGUCAUGGACUUUACGCACAGGGCUGGGCUGAUCCAAUGUUCGAAAAUUCGAACCUAUCCUCUCCCAGAAUUUUCACGCAGAGGGGUUUUUGAAUUCGAAAACACGGGAAUAAAUGACUGAACUACCAUCAAUUGCGCACACUUGUCACCGUCGAUUUUUUUAUAUACCUCGUAACUAAGGUUUUUAAAUUGUUUUUUAUUUUUUGUUUUCAUUUUAGGUUUCGAAAAAAUUCUAUUGGGUUUAGCCCACCAUACUUUGCAUCGAGGUCAGCGCAGCCUGCUUUGCAUCUGUUAAGCAACAGUUGUAUCCAACAGAAUCUUUAAAAAAACUCACUCGCAUUCAAUUUUUUACAUCCGGUUCCAUUUAUUUCUAUACACAGAUGUGCCACCUACGAAAAAAAAAGAUUAAAAUGUAAUGACUUCUCUAAUAAAGACUGGUUCACUUUCCACAGAAAGCCAAACAACGUUUGACGCUCCCGCGAGAAGGUCCAAAAAUGAAGUUAGCCAUUGCAUUGGAAGCCCAAACUAUUACGUCUACAACGCCCAAAUUAACAACCCUCAAAACAACUAGGACGACUAACGAUCAACGGACGACUACUAAAUCAACAACCCCCAAAACAACCAGGACAACUAAAUUAACAACGUCAAAAUCAACAACCCCCAAAACAACUAGGACGACUAAAUCAACAACCUCCAAAACAACAGUAAAAACCACAACCGGCAAGACGACGCUUAAGCAAAGCACUUCAACGACAACCAAAAAGCCUGUUACCACAACUGCUUUGACUGUUAAAUCCUAUAAAGUUUGCCGUGACACAUCUUCAACAGCGACCAGUGGAUCCAUCCAGCCCUUAGAUGGUCUAACACCGUUGACAACGGUACCACCGAAAACGUGCAGCUUUUCCAUCACCUACUGAUCAACAUGUUCAGAUGUCUUGUUCGGUCGCCAAUCUAACUUUCUUCACAACUUACGCCGAAAUUUCCUCAUAUUCAAGUUCAUUGAUCUUCGACGGAAUCCUAGACGUUGAGCUAUCGAACAUAAUCCUACCAAACAAGGUUUAUGCUUCAUAUAACAAUACAAUGACUGUAACUUAUCGAGUUGUCAAUGCAUCAGAUAACUUUGAUUGUAGUUGGACAACAUUUCGGGAGCCCACGACAACAACCGAUUAUAAAUGGUGUCGUGAUGGUAAGACCACAGCAGCCAAUGGAUCCAUUCAAACUAUGCGUGAACCAAUAGGAAAUGAUAUAAUCCCAGUUAGAGUUUGUCCCUUUGUCAUCAAUUCAUCAUCCAACAGUCAAGUACAGAUGUCUUGCGCGUCCCAAACUUCUUGGGAAUUUAGGCUAUUUACAUUUGACAUCUUCGAAAACUUUUAUAACUUUCGACCUAAAUAUUAUAAGACGACAUCAAAUGGAAAUGAAAUAGAAAUACUGCUGAGCCGCGUCGUUACCGAUGCAGGCUUUCCAAUUGAUUGUAAAUGGACGACGACAGCAGCCAGCGUAACGACUGCGUUCACGUACAAUCAACGGCUUCAAACGGUGUCAUUACACCAUUAACUAAUGCGACCGACUCAAACAUAUGUUUGUUCUCUAUUAUUGUUCCCCUCUGUCAGCACAUUCAGAUAUCUUGUACGGUCGUCAACCUCACCGAAGGCAGCUACAUUUGGCUGGGUGGGAUCAAUGAACUUGAAAGGAGUGGUGUCCCAUCACCUGACAAGGUUUACACGUCAACAGGCAAUCAAGUAGACGUUAUAUCGACGUAUGUAAACCAAGAAGAUUGGUUUCAAUGUAAUUGGACGACUAUAACCAACGACGACUGAUUUCAAACUGUGCCUAGAUGGAGAGACAACAGAAGACCGCGGGACAAUUCAACCAUUUAAUAGUAGGCGUAAUGUAGCGGAAGGACAAAGUAGUUGUCGCUUUACUAUAACUGCACCUAUGAGUAAGCGUAUUCAAAUGACUUGCCUGACCAACGACGACUCAAGCCCUGAUUAUUGGCUGUCGUAAGUUCUUAAUUAUAAGAUGACUGCUGCCCGAUCUACAAACCUACAAGUGCUACCCAGUCAUGGUGAAAGGCCGGCAACCAAUCCGGAAGACGGCAACAACAAGUCAUCAUAGAGAUCGACUGAAACGAAUGCAACAGCGUGUGAAAGAGGAACGGCUAAGAUGGAGACCGUGCCGAGCUAUAUAUUGCGCACAUCUUUCCCCGAAAAUUGUUCUAAGAUGAGUUGUGCCGACUGCAGUGUCCUGCUCGAGUGACCAGCUAUAAAUCCUAAGUAGCUGACCAAGCAUAUUGACUAAAAAUCGUUCUGACGGCAAAGUUCGCCCUGGAAGAGUUACGGAAUCAUCUCCAACACGUCGGCAGAUUAAAGAAAAGGCUCUUCUUAUGACCCAACGACACCUUCAUCCUUUGCCCUCACUGCUCCCACUCUAUCUCCUUGAGAGACAAGUCAAGGAACUUGUUCGCUUAGAUUCUCCCCAUUAAUUGCCCCAACCCUUGUUGAUCAAGGAAUGGGUUCUGAGUGAAGUUCGUCGUAGGAUUGCUUUCCUCCCAUAGAAACUGUUGAGCUCCUGAGAGGAUCUCUUGAAGAGAAGCCCCAGCAUCAAGACAAAGGAAGUGAGAGGUGCCGUCACUUUGGUAUUCGGUCAUUUGGUUUGCGUCAGCUGCGUGGUAAAAUGCGUCCCUGCAAGACUGACACCAACAACCCAUCCCCAAGAAAGUCUACCUGCAGGAGGAAAGGCCAGUUUGCAUUUCCUUCACUAUCGAAGGUCACGUAGAUCAUUACGAAAAACGUGUCAUAAAUUGUGUAGAGGUUGGGUGAGAAAGGGACGUGUUUCAUAAUUAUCAAGCAGGUACAACAGCCGCAAGGCUUAAGAGGUGGAGGGAGGAAAAAUAUUGUAUAAAAGGAGAGAGAAAAGGCUACAGAAAUCAGUCGAGUGUGCAUCUCUGACACGUCAACAUCUGUUGCAGCGCACUACUUGUUACCAAUUGCCUUCUUCAUCGUGUUACCAGUUCCCAAUCAUGGGCGUCAUGCUGCUGUUGGGUGUUGUACCAUUGAUGGCUGGUUACUGUUCCCCUGGCGAGAUAUCGGGUCCCUUUUAUAAAGCAUUAACGAAGAAAUCAGUCGAGUGAUCAUCACACGGCAACAACUGCUUUUUUUGUCGUAUUUAAACAAUUCGCAAUCAUAGUUAACUAAGAUGUCGUGCUGCUGUUGUGUGUUGUAUCUUUCUUGGCUGGGACGACCGCUGGUGUACCGACGUCUCCUGGGUAUGACGGAUACCAAGCCGCAACGCCGUUGUCUUACUACAAAUCAACAUCAACGCACCGACGCCCCAAGUACUACACUGAGAUGGCCGAAUGUUCACCAACUGCGUUCUUCGUCGUAUUACUAGUUUUCUAUCAUGGUAAACUAUUCCGUCGUGCUGCUGUUGGCUGUCGUAUCGUUGAUGGCUGGCGUAUCGUUGAUGGCUGGGUCGACCACUGGUGUACCGAUGUGUUGUGGGUAUGGUGGAUACCAAACAGCAACGCCGCUGUCUUACUACACAACAACAACAUACAAAACAACCGCAUACUACACCACUAUUCACCAGAGUAUAACCCACAACUUAUGAUGCCUCGAACUACUACACCAAAGCCCCAAAAUAUAACUCUGCCCAGAGUUACACCACGGAGGCAGCGGAGUACUACACCACGGAGGCAGCGGAGUACUACACCACGGAGGCAGCGGAGUACUACACCACGGAGGCAGCGGAGUACUACACCACGGAGGCAGCGGAGUACUACACCACGGAGGCAGCGGAGUACUACACCACGGAGGAUGCUGCCCCAGCCUUUUCUACCGAGGCUCCCAAGUACUACACCACCAAGGCACCCGAGUACUACACCAUAAACUACGCUUCCGCAAUUUGUUCCUUGGAGGUUUCUAAAUGCUAGAGCCGAAAUUUCUAUUUGAUUUUUUUUAUAUUGGUCGGUCGUCUUCAUGGUCAUUGGUCACUGGGAAUUAAUUGUUGAUCUUAGAUCAGAAAAUAAAAAUUCUAAUGCUGGUAA